UGGGGAAUAUUGGGCAAUGGAGGAAACUCUGACCCAGCGACGCCGCGUGCGGGAUGAAGGCCUUCGGGUUGUAAACCGCUUUCAGCAGGGAAGAAGCGAAAGUGACGGUACCUGCAGAAGAAGCACCGGCUAACUAUGUGCCAGCAGCCGCGGUAAGACGGAGGAUGCAAGUGUUAUCCGGAAUCACUGGGCGUAAAGCGUCUGUAGGUGGUUUAAUAAGUCAACUGUUAAAUCUUGAGGCUCAACUUC
rnacentral:rRNA from 1 species